AGAGAGCCACAGGCUUCCUUAAGAGUGGAUACCAGAGACAGCUGAAUUACAAACAUACUAGUGGUGCAUACAGCACAUUUGGACACGGAGAUGAGAAUACAUGCUGGAGGAAACAGGCAGAGGCAUGGAUCUAGGUGCAGGUAGUUUAAUAAGAGGACAAAGAGGACGUUGCGGCCAGCAGGCUUGAGAGGACUGAGGCCAGUCAGCUAGAGUGCGUAGCGGCUGGCAAAGGCCUUGGGAUGCAGGCUGCUCGCACAGAUGUCAGCGGCAGGUCCGCCAUACUGGACACCAGUCUCAUACACCCCAAGUCAGGUCCAGUAGCAGAGAUAGUGCAGGCAGUUAACAUUAGUGAUGGCUCAGGCUCCCCCCAAAAAAAUGUUUAACAGAUGGCCAAGCGGUGAAAUCCUCCUCCAACUCACACAUGGUGAAUGGGGAACCACUCAGCUGUGAAGCCCACUCCACAAAAAUCACAUAAACUCCCUCGAGGACCAUCAAUAGGGUAAGUUGUGAUUUAUGAUAUUCAUAAACUCCACAGCAAUAAAAGGAAAUCGAAGAAUUGUACAGAAAAUCUGUGUGAUACUCCAACUCCAAAAAUUCACGGGUGUGGUCCAAGAGGGAACGCUCACCCUGGCGCAAAGAGAAUAAGUUUCAUACCUGCUAGAUCAAUGGUUAUGAUCGGUUGUUCUCUUAUGUGGGGUAGCUGGAGGAAACAGGCUGAGGGGUGGAUCUAGGUGCAGGUAGUUUAAUAAGACAAAAAUGGGGAAAAAGAAACACUGGGAACAAAGAAUCAAAGUACGGGUAGAAAUGACACCAAUAACA
ensembl:lncRNA